GAUGAACGCUGGCGGCGUGCCUAAUACAUGCCAGUCGAGCGAACAGACGAGGAGCUUGCUCCUCUGACGUUAGCGGCGGACGGGUGAGUAACACGUGGAUAACCUACCUAUAAGACUGGGAUAACUUCGGGAAGCCGGAGCUAAUACCGGAUAAUAUAUUGAACCGCAUGGUUCAAUAGUGAAAGACGGUUUUGCUGUCACUUAUAGAUGGAUCCGCGCCGCAUUAGCUAGUUGGUAAGGUAACGGCUUACCAAGGCAACGAUGCGUAGCCGACCUGAGAGGGUGAUCGGCCACACUGGAACUGAGACACGGUCCAGACUCCUACGGGAGGCAGCAGUAGGGAAUCUUCCGCAAUGGGCGAAAGCUUGACGGAGCAACGCCGCGUGAGUGAUGAAGGUCUUCGGAUCGUAAAACUCUGUUAUUAGGGAAGAACAAAUGUGUAAGUAACUAUGCACGUCUUGACGGUACCUAAUCAGAAAGCCACGGCUAACUACGUG
rnacentral:rRNA from 1 species